AUUGAACGCUGGCGGCAGGCCUAACACAUGCAAGUCGAACGGCAGCGGGGGAUAGCUUGCUAUCCUGCCGGCGAGUGGCGGACGGGUGAGUAAUGCAUGGGGAGCUGCCCAGUCGAGGGGGAUAACAACUGGAAACGGUUGCUAAUACCGCAUACGCCCUAAGGGGGAAAGGUGGGGAACUUCGGUCCUACCGCGAUUGGAUGCGCCCAUGUGGGAUUAGCUAGUUGGUGAGGUAACGGCUCACCAAGGCGACGAUCUCUAGCUGGUCUGAGAGGAUGAACAGCCACACUGGAACUGAGACAAGGUCCAGACUCCUACGGGAGGCAGCAGUGGGGAAUAUUGCACAAUGGGGGAAUCCCUGAUGCAGCCAUGCCGCGUGUGUGAAGAAGGCCUUCGGGUUGUAAAGCACUUUCAGUCAGGAGGAAGGGGUGAUGGCUAAUAUCCAUCAUCAUUGACGUUACUGACAGAAGAAGCACCGGCUAACUCCGUGCCAGCCGCCGCGGUAA
rnacentral:rRNA from 1 species